AGAAUGUUUUCCUAUCCAGCACAUUUAUGCUGGAUCGUCACCUGGAACAUUGCCAGUACUUGCUUUUAGCCAGACAAAUUCCAACCCAUGAUCUCCUGAUCUUUGUAAACAUUGCAAAUGAGGAACUGAUGUGCAUGUGGUUCACAAAGAAAGCCCAGUGCCAGCUCUAUGCUCAGGGAACUCAGAUUUUAGCCAGACACCUUUAAUUUCCCCCAAAGGGUUAGGCAUCUCUUUAAUUCUACCUUUCAGCUUGGGUCUAAAAGACAUUCUGUAACUUAUGGCUUAAAAGCCAUGACUUAAAACCCACUGUAUGUUCUCUGCUUCUGGUGAGCCAGUUUCCAAGCCUCGUGCCCAGUUCUGUGUGGUCCUGACCAGCACUGGUGUGGUGUACCCACCAGAGAAGACUGCCUGAACAUGGGUUUAUGCCAGCAGAAAGUCUUUAUCAUUCAACCAGCGACUACGCUGGGUGUUCAAGAUCCAGGUCCUACAAGAGAAACCAUGCUCAGAAGGUGAGAUUACUACCCAAGCACUCCAAGCACUCCAAGCACUCCGCGUGUAAUCACAGAGAUGGCACCGAAGUCAGAGUCCUGAGUCUUAACAUCACUGGAUAAUUAUUAUUGAUGUGUUGGGCAUCGUACACAGGUAAGCCCAUCUUUCUCAAGAAUUAGGAGAAACAAUGCUCUCAGGAGUUUUUCAAGCUAAAGGGGCCUUUCCCUGCUCUGUAUUAUUAAGACCCCUCCCUAACUGUCCAGAGCAGCCCCCGGGAGACAUUUAAAACAGGAACACUAGAAUUAGUAAAGCCCACUUAACUUCAUCUAUUCAGACUCAAGCCCAGGGCUUGCUUUCUCUCUAUUCCACCAUCAUCUAAAAGAAAUCCUGACUACUCCCAUAAUUAGGACCUGGGUGCUCUGGGAGAGGCUCGGUAUACAAGAGCAGGUAAACAAGUAAGUAGAGAUUGCCAGGCUGACUGAGAAGACUGUCCUC
rnacentral:lncRNA from 1 species